GUGCUAACCACUGCUCCACUGUGCCACCCACGUACAUCCACCCCCGACAGACAGGAAGUACCAACCACCAGCCGUGCUGUUCUGGAUCAGGUCAACCUGAGUCGCAAUUCUGUUCGUCUCAGAAAGAAGUCCAAAGAGAUGGUAAAUAUUGAGUUUCACACGACGAGUAGCAAAUACAAGUUUCCAGUGUCGACCAAGGAGGCUGGAAACAUGGUCACUUUCAGAGGUUCAGACGGAUCCAGGUUUCAAGUGGUGGAAAUGACAAUUCUCCAACGAAGGUCACCUGGAAAAAACUUAAAAACCCCGUG